GACGAACGCUGGCGGCGUGCUUAACACAUGCAAGUCGAACGGAAAGGCCUGCUUUCCCUUGUGGCUUGCGGGUACUCGAGUGGCGAACGGGUGAGUAACACGUGAGUGAUCUGCCCCCAACUUUGGUAUAAGCCUGGGAAACUGGGUCUAAUUCCCUAUAGGACUGCAGGGUGGUUCCUGUGGUGGAAAACGAUGUUCUAGUGGUUGGGGAUGAGCUCGCGGCCUAUCAGCUUGUUGGUGGGGUAAUGUCGUACCAAGGCGGCGACGGGUAGCCGGCCUGGGAGGGUCGGCGUGAAAAGUGGAACGGCGAUAUGGGGACGACGCUAACGGGAGGCAGCAGUCGGGAGGAAUGAGUGAGGGGGGGAGGACUGAGGGCGCGACGCGGAGGGAGCGAUGACGGGUUUCGGGUGGUAACCUUCUGUUGACAGAGCGGAAGCGACUUGGAUGGAAGGGUAGUGACGGUAGUGGGAGAAGAAGCACCGGCUAACUACGUG
rnacentral:rRNA from 1 species